rnacentral:rRNA from 1 species
ACGAACGCUGGCGGCGUGCUUCACACAUGCCAGUCGCACGGAAAGGCCCUGCUUUUGUGGGGUGCUCGAGUGGCGAACGGGUGGGUAACACGUGAGUAACCUGCCCUUGACUUUGGGAUAACUUCAGGAAACUGGGGCUAAUACCGGAUAGGAGCUCCUGCUGCAUGGUGGGGGUUGGAAAGUUUCGGCGGUUGGGGAUGGACUCGCGGCUUAUCGGCUUGUUGGUGGGGUAGUGGCUUACCAAGGCUUUGACGGGUAGCCGGCCUGAGAGGGUGACCGGCCACAUUGGGACUGAGAUACGGCCCAGACUCCUACGGGAGGCAGCAGUGGGGAAUAUUGCACAAUGGGCGGAAGCCUGAUGCAGCAACGCCGCGUGCGGGAUGACGGCCUUCGGGUUGUAAACCGCUUUCGCCUGUGACGAAGCGUGAGUGACGGUAAUGGGUAAAGAAGCACCGGCUAACUACGUG